rnacentral:rRNA from 1 species
GACGUAGGGGGCGAGCGUUGUCCGGAUUUAUUGGGCGUAAAGCGUGCGUAGGCGGCUGCGCAAGUCGGGUGUGAAACCCCGGGGCUCAACCCCGGAACUGCAUCCGAUACUGCGUGGCUAGAGGUAGGUAGGGGAGAUCGGAAUUCCUGGUGUAGCGGUGAAAUGCGCAGAUAUCAGGAGGAACACCGGUGACGAAGGCGGAUCUCUGGGCCUUACCUGACGCGCAGACACGAAAGCUAGGGGAGCGAACAGG